rnacentral:rRNA from 1 species
ACUCCUACGGGAGGCAGCAGUGGGGAAUAUUGGACAAUGGGCGAAAGCCUGAUCCAGCCAUGCCGCGUGUGUGAAGAAGGCCUUCGGGUUGUAAAGCACUUUCAGUAGGGAGGAAAAGUUAGGUGGUUAAUACCAUCAGCCCUGACGUUACCUACAGAAGAAGCACCGGCUAACUCCGUGCCAGCAGCCGCGGUAAUACGGAGGGUGCGAGCGUUAAUCGGAAUUACUGGGCGUAAAGCGUACGUAGGCUGUUACUUAAGCUAGAUGUGAAAGCCCCGGGCUCAACCUGGGAACUGCAUUUAGAACUGAGUAGCUAGAAUGUGUGAGAGGUAAGUGGAAUUUCCAGUGUAGCGGUGAAAUGCGUAGAGAUUGGAAAGAACACCAGUGGCGAAGGCGACUUACUGGCAUAACAUUGACGCUGAGGUACGAAAGCGUGGGUAGCAAACAGGAUUAGAUACCCCUGGUAGCGACU